GAGUUUGAUCCUGGCUCAGGAUGAACGCUAGCUACAGGCUUAACACAUGCAAGUCGAGGGGCAUCAGGAAGAAAGCUUGCUUUCUUUGCUGGCGACCGGCGCACGGGUGAGUAACACGUAUCCAACCUGCCCUUUACUCGGGGAUAGCCUUUCGAAAGAAAGAUUAAUACCCGAUGGCAUAAUGAUUCCGCAUGGUUUCAUUAUUAAAGGAUUCCGGUAAAGGAUGGGGAUGCGUUCCAUUAGGUUGUUGGUGAGGUAACGGCCCACCAAGCCUUCGAUGGAUAGGGGUUCUGAGAGGAAGGUCCCCCACAUUGGAACUGAGACACGGUCCAAACUCCUACGGGAGGCAGCAGUGAGGAAUAUUGGUCAAUGGGCGCUAGCCUGAACCAGCCAAGUAGCGUGAAGGAUGAAGGCUCUAUGGGUCGUAAACUUCUUUUAUAUAAGAAUAAAGUGCAGUAUGUAUACUGUUUUGUAUGUAUUAUAUGAAUAAGGAUCGGCUAACUCCGUGCCAGCAGCCGCGGUAAUACGGAGGAUCCGAGCGUUAUCCGGAUUUAUUGGGUUUAAAGGGAGCGUAGGUGGACUGGUAAGUCAGUUGUGAAAGUUUGCGGCUCAACCGUAAAAUUGCAGUUGAUACUGUCAGUCUUGAGUACAGUAGAGGUGGGCGGAAUUCGUGGUGUAGCGGUGAAAUGCUUAGAUAUCACGAAGAACUCCGAUUGCGAAGGCAGCUCACUGGACUGCAACUGACACUGAUGCUCGAAAGUGUGGGUAUCAAACAGGAUUAGAUACCCUGGUAGUCCACACAGUAAACGAUGAAUACUCGCUGUUUGCGAUAUACAGUAAGCGGCCAAGCGAAAGCAUUAAGUAUUCCACCUGGGGAGUACGCCGGCAACGGUGAAACUCAAAGGAAUUGACGGGGGCCCGCACAAGCGGAGGAACAUGUGGUUUAAUUCGAUGAUACGCGAGGAACCUUACCCGGGCUUAAAUUGCAGUGGAAUGAUGUGGAAACAUGUCAGUGAGCAAUCACCGCUGUGAAGGUGCUGCAUGGUUGUCGUCAGCUCGUGCCGUGAGGUGUCGGCUUAAGUGCCAUAACGAGCGCAACCCUUAUCUUCAGUUACUAACAGGUUAUGCUGAGGACUCUAGAGAGACUGCCGUCGUAAGAUGUGAGGAAGGUGGGGAUGACGUCAAAUCAGCACGGCCCUUACGUCCGGGGCUACACACGUGUUACAAUGGGGGGUACAGAAGGCAGCUAGCGGGUGACCGUAUGCUAAUCCCAAAAUCCUCUCUCAGUUCGGAUCGAAGUCUGCAACCCGACUUCGUGAAGCUGGAUUCGCUAGUAAUCGCGCAUCAGCCACGGCGCGGUGAAUACGUUCCCGGGCCUUGUACACACCGCCCGUCAAGCCAUGGGAGCCGGGGGUACCUGAAGUACGUAACCGCAAGGAUCGUCCUAGGGUAAAACUGGUGACUGGGGCUAAGUCGUAACAAGGUAGCCGUACCGGAAGGUGCGGCUGGAACACC
rnacentral:rRNA from 1 species